GCGAUUGCUAAAGCCCUGCAGCCCAUUUCCCCAGACUACGAAUCUGAGGGUCAGGAGUUCGAAUCUCUUCGGGCGCGCCA
rnacentral:tRNA from 1 species